rnacentral:rRNA from 1 species
CGCCUCUUGCUUUAAUAUAAGAGGUCUAGCCUGCCCGGUGAUACUAUUUAACGGCCGCGGUACCCUAACCGUGCGAAGGUAGCAUAAUCACUUGUUCUUUAAAUGGGGACUCGUAUCAACGGCAUCACGAGGGUUGUACUGUCUCCUUUCCCCAAUCAGUGAAACUGAUCUCUCCGUGAAGAAGCGGAGAUAGAAUUAUAAGACGAGAAGACCCCAUGGAGCUUUAAACCCAGCAACUACCUCUGUUUAAACACACCCACAUAAGUAACAGAACCCUAUUUGUCUGGUUUUAGGUUGGGGUGACCGCGGAGUAUAAAAUAGCCUCCACGAUGAAUGGGCUAACCCCUUAAUCUAAGAGUCACACCUCUAAGAAUUAGCAAUCUAACAUAAACUGAUCCGACUAUCGAUCAACGAACCAAGUUACCCUGGGGAUAACAGCGCAAUCCACUUUAAGAGCUCCUAUCGACAAGUGGGUUUACGACCUCGAUGUUGGAUCAGGGUAUCCUAGUGGUGCAGCAGCUACUAAAGGUUCGUUUGUUCAACGAUUAAAACCCU